CAUUCAUGUACCAUACACUUUUGUGGAGGUCACAGGACCACUUAAGGGAUGGGCUCUCUCCUUCCAUCAUGAGGGUGCCAGAAAUUAUACUCAGGUCAUCAGGCUUAGCAAGAGCCUUUCCUCAUUGAGCCACCCACAAACCCUUCUUAUUUCCAUGUUAGAGAUGAGAAAAUAGACACAAUAUUGCUCCAAAUCUCCCAAGAGCCUUAGAGAGGUUCCACAUCCUGCGUCAUCCACAUCCAGGUCUUCUGCUUUCCACACACUUGGCUUCAUCACUCUCGUGCUCAGAAUGCCUGCUGCUCUGACAACACCCCUCACCUGCCACAGUUGCUAUGGCCUUCUGCCCAUUCUCUGUGUUGUUGUUCAUUUGUCUAGAGUUACUCCGUGUGGUACAAGCACCACUAUGCCUUCUAAUACCCUUUUUUUCUUAGGCUUUUUUAAAUCAACAAUACACAGUCACUUAAAGUGGCAAUAUGUUCUGAGAACUAUGGUGCAAAGUCACUGUUGUGUAAAACUAUCCCAGAAAUGUCUUUACUUAAACUGAGAUGGUUACAACGUUAGGCAAUAGAGUCUUACGGGACCUUGUAAUGCAUAUGUUUCAUUGACCCAAACUUCCUUGUGUAGCACAUGACUAUUUAUUGAAAUGUGUCCAUAGGACAUCCUUCUUGCUGAUAGCUAUGGAGAAGUACAUUGCAUGGCUGCAUUCCAUGAUUUACUUAGUCCCAUACAGAUGGGAUUUGGCUAGCUUCCAUUCUUUGGCUGCUAGAAGAAUGCUGUAAAGAAUAACCUUGUCUAGACUUUGCCUUGUACAUGUAGAAUAAGUACGCCUGAGUCAAAGGACAUAUUUGAUAGACCAUGCCAUCCGUCUGAAGUGUUCCCUCUAGCCUCUGCUAGAGCUCAGUGUCUCAUCCAGUAAAAUCACACAAGGAUUUUAAAAGCCGGGUCAGAUAACACAGGGCUUGACCCACUGUUCCUGGAGUAGGUAGGGGACACCAACACACAUGUAAGCAAGAGCUUUCGCCGGGAAAUUUCAGGAUAAGACGGACUGGAGUCAGAUGUGGUGGCACACACCUGUCACCCUAGUGUACAGGAGAUGAGGGGGCAGGAAGGUUGAGAAUUCUGGGCUAUCCUGGGAUAUAUCAUGAAUAAAAGACUACAUGGUGAGACCCUGUCUCAAAAAACGAAGUGUUAGGCUGUUGCUCAGUGAGAGCACUUUCCUAGCCUAUCUGAGACCCUGGGUUCAGUCUUUAGCACUGGAAAAAUGUUGCAGUGAGGAUAUAUUGUUGGGUUUCCACAAGCAACACUCCCUUCACAGUCCCCAGAGACUGUACCAGGACAAUGGUUCUUGCCUUGCUUGCUUUUCCACAGUCUUCUGUGGGACAUGUCCCUUGACAUCUAUUCUUCCUCCCCUUUUGGUAUACUUGGGAUUAACUAUUGAGUGUGUGGUGAUUCCGAUAAAGACUACAUUUCCCAGAGUUCUCUGUAAUCAAAUUCUAGGUGACAUGAUGCUCUUAGAACUGUUGCUUGCUUGCUGCAAGCAGAGGUGUUUCUUUAUCCCCCUCCCCCUUCUGCCUGGCUGGAAUGUAGGUGGUAGAGCAGUCACUGGGACAGAAGCUGAGGAUGCCAAAGCCACAGACAUAAGGUUACAGGGACUCUGACAAUCCUGGGAUGCCCUGCAAGAAGUUAAAUUGGUGGCUGGCAUCGUAGUGUACAUCUCAGAAAGCUAAGGCAGGAGGAUAGCAAGUUUGAAGUCAGCAUGGGCUACAAAAUGAGACCCUAUCUUAAAUGAGACCCUAUCUUAAAGCAAAAACAGAAGUAAGCAAACAAGAAACAAAUAGAUUCAAACAAAAAUUGCACUUUCAUCUUACUAAGUAGAACAUUCUAUGCUAGGGUAACUGAAUUUAAAUCCUCCUCACUGAUAGACAUGGACGUGUAAGUCUGUACUAGCUUUGCUUGGCUUUAGAUCUUUGAUCCAUAGAACAUGGCUGCUACCCAGCCUCUUUCCAAGCCAAGGAUUGCUGUCUGUCUGCCUCCCAGCAGAACUAGCCGAGGAAGCUUUGCUCAGAGAAAACAGUACUUAAGCCACCUAAGGUGGUUUAAAUAUCAAGACUGGGGAGGUUGAGGCAGAGCUGGCCUGGUUGUAGUCCAGCCCAAGCUAUAAAGCAAAAUCUUAGCUCAAAAAAUAGAAAAGAAAGAAAGAAGAAGAAAACAAAACCAGAAUCAAUACUUCAGUGGAUAAAAACUACACCAUUGCCAGUUGGUGGGUGGGGCAAGAGCUUCCUGAUUGGUUAGUCUAGUUAGCCAACAGCUCUCAGAAAUCUCUGCUGGGGUUACAGGUGGGCAGUGACAACUGCCUGGUUUUUAUGUGGGUGCUGGGGUUCAAAACUCCAGCCCUUAUAGGACAAGUGUUUUAUCUACUAAAGUUACCUCCCCAGCUUCCACCGAAGAUUUUUUUUAUUUUUUAUUUUUCAAUACAGGGUUUCUCUGCGUAGCUUUGUAGACCAGGCUGUCCUCAAACUUACAGAGAUCUGCUUGCUUCUGCCUCCCAAGAGAUUAAAGGUGUACACCACCACCACCCGGCCACUGCAGAAUUCUUAAAUUAAACCUUCUUAUUGGGUAUUUAAGUCAUUUCUAAAUAUUUAUCAUCACAAAAAAUAACAUAGUAGAAGGAAUGGGCUGUGAGGGAGGCAGAUGGGAACUUUAACUCCUGUCUCUGUCACCCACUACCUGUGUAUUUCUAGACAUGGUGGCUUUCCUCUGUGAACGCCAGUCUUUUCUAUAAACCCUGCAAUACCUAUCUCUAAUGACACAAGCCAGCUAGGGCAGGCAUGAUGGCAGGCUCAGAAAACAGUAGCUGUGAUUCAAGGGUGAACAUGUGACUUUCAGAUACAGGGUUAUUUUGAUAAAUGAUGCUUCAAAUGACAAAUUUCCAGAAGUGAGGGAGGGGCUGCUGGGUCCAAGGACAGAAACAUUCAACACAAGUUUUCAUUGACUCUUGGGCUUUGCUAUGUUUUUCUCAAAUGAAGAGCCAAGGCUCAAAGAAGUUAAGUUGGUCUCAGGCUCCGUUGAUCUCAAACUGUAGAGAACAGAUUAAACCCAUAAUUUCUAACUUUUGGUGGGAACAACUUUCAUUAAAUGCGAUGCACUGAGGCCCGAACUCUUACACAGUACAGGAAAGAGAAUUAAAGCCCUUUGCAAUAAACCAAGUGGAUGAACCAGUUGCCUCAAAUUAUGCUGUUAUGACAGAAUAACACAUGUUCAGUAAUGCAUAGUUUAUUUUCUGUGUUCCUAGGGCCACGAAGAACAAUGGCGAGGUGCCAGCAAGGUAUGAGGGCCUUCGUAACGCAUCAGGACACAGCAGAGGUGAUGGUAUGUGAUGCUCAGCUCUCUUAUUAUUUUCAAUUUUAUCUUGUGUGUGAGGGUGUUUUACCUUUAUGCAUGUUUCGAGCCAUGCUUGUGCCUGGUGCCUGUGGAGACCUGCAGAAGACGGGGGAACCCUUGGAACUGGAGUUACAGACAUUGUGACUGGAGUUAUAAGUCACUAUACAGAUGCUGGGACUCAAACCCAGUUCCUCUAGAAGAGUAGCCAGUGCUUUUAACUGCUGAGCCGUUUCUCCAGCCUGCUCUCUUCUUAGAACUCAGUGCUGUCAUGGGCAUCCAACUUUCAUGACCUCAUCUAACCCCAAGUUCCUCCCAAGGGCCCCACCCCGAGUGUCCUCAGGGUAUUGAUUUGAGACUCAAAGUUUGCAACCUCUGAACUUUUGGGACACAGUCACACUACAGCUCCUUCUUCAUUCUGUAGUCUCGCCCUACUUCAGAGAUCUUUAUGGACGUACAAUAAGGAAAGGCCAUCAGUUUCGGGGACUCUCCCAGCCUUGUCAUCUACACUUCCCAGGAUCCAGAAAAGUCAAUUAAUCUCUUAUCUGUAAGGUGAGAACUCCAGGUGGUACCUAAGGCCACUUCUAGUUUAAAGUCCUUUGUUUAAGUAAGUGGUGUGGUUUUGGGUGUGAAAAAUCAGGACUGAAGCCAGCUUCCCAUCAUCCCUUAGGGGAGUAAAACCUUGCCAGUAACCCCUAUAUCCUGUAUCCUUCAUAUUUCCUCCCAGAACAUCGGCACACACCAAAGGAGUCGCUCGUGGUGGCAUCGGCUGGUUAGAAGGUCGUGACAGAAACUUAAAGUUGGAUCUACUUAAGAGGGAUUUACUUGUUUAUUUUUCAGACACCCUGUAGCCGAGGCAGGUCUUAACUAUGCGGCUGAGGGCGGCCUUGGAUGUGUGGUUUAUUGCUCUAGCCCCCGGGUGCUGGGAUUACAGGUGUGUACCACCAUACCAGCCUCAGACAGGGGUGGGGUGGAGCCCAGGGCUGUGUGCAAGACAGGCAAGCACUCUGCCAACUCCAGAUCCUCAGGAGGGUCAUUGUAUUUCAUUGUUGGUGUGUGUGUGGGGGGGUGUGGCUCAUAGGCACAUGACAACAGUUUGUUGUGUAUAAGAAAAACAUAUUUAUUAGGUGAAGACCAGAGGGAAUUGAAAAUACUUGAUUGUGUGUGGGGGGAUAACAAGAGGCUUUUUUUCCCCCUCAGUUAUCCUUUGUUUUGUUUUUGCAGUAGCAAGUGACCCCAUUAUGAACAAGAGCACUCUGUUAGGUACUGAGAGCUUUGCUUGGAGGCUUUUAACAGGUUACAGCCGGGCUGCACAUGGUAGCACACACCUGUGAUCCUAGCCCUUUGGGGGCUGAGGCAUGAUUGGAAGUUUUUUUUCCAGCCUGGGCAACAUUGUAGGCUGGGAUAGGACAGAUAUGACAGAGAGAUACAGAAGAUUUAAGGAGACAUGACAAGAAAGGAAUCCCUGGCUGAGAAUAAAGAAUUCAAGCCACUUGGAACUGGAGAGGCAGCUCAGUGGUUAAGAGCACUGGCUGCUCUUCCAGAGGACCCAGGUUUGAUUCCCAGCAGCCUCGUGGUGGCUCACAGCCAUUGGACCCAGGAGAUCCAGUGCCUUAUGCCCUCUUCUGGCCUCUGCAGGCACCAAGCACCAGGUCCACAAAUGGUGCACAGACACACACUGUAGGCAAAACACCCAUACAGGUUAAAUUUAAAUAAUAAUAAAAAAAUUCAGCCCAGGUGACAACACUUGCCAUCAAGCUUGCUGCCACAGAGUAUUUAUUUUCUGUAUAGACGUUUUCAGAUAAGAAUAUUGAAACACGACCAUCGAGUUGGUGAAGGCACACACCCCUGAGCCUCACAACUUGCUUUCAAUCCCCUGGGACCCACAAAAGUGGAAAGAGAGAACCAACUUCCCUAGGCGGUCCUCAGAUCUCCACAUGUGUUCUGUGGCACACAUACACAUACACACUAAUAGAUGACGUUAGCGUAACAACGAGUCAUAUUAAGGCCCAAACACACGUGCCCCUUGAGGGCAGUCUUGUUACGAUAAAUCUUUCCACCUAAAGCCUCUGAGCCUGAGUUCUGCCCGCCGAGUUAGGGCCCCAAUUAGUGCACAGAGACUUAUAUUAGGUACAGAUGCUGCUUGGCCAAUGACUAGGAUUCUCAUCUGUUAGCUCAGUCUUCAUUAUCAUAAAUCUAUAUCUUUUAUAAGACUUAUCUUAUCUCUUAUCAGACGCCUUCCUUUGGUGGCCUCCCUUGCUGGUGGAUCACAGGG
ensembl:lncRNA